AUUGAACGCUGGCGGCAUGCUUUACACAUGCAAGUCGAACGGUAACAGGCCUUCGGGUGCUGACGAGUGGCGAACGGGUGAGUAAUGCAUCGGAACGUGCCCAGAGGUGGGGGAUAACGCAGCGAAAGCUGUGCUAAUACCGCAUGUGAUCUGAGGAUGAAAGCGGGGGACCAGGCAGCAAUGUUUGGCCUCGCGCCUUUGGAGCGGCCGAUGUCAGAUUAGGUAGUUGGUGGGGUAAAGCCCUACCAAGCCGACGAUCUGUAGCUGGUCUGAGAGGACGACCAGCCACACUGGGACUGAGCCACGGCCCAGACUCCUACGGGAGGCAGCAGUGGGGAAUUUUGGACAAUGGGCGCAAGCCUGAUCCAGCAAUGCCGCGUGCGGGAAGAAGGCCUUCGGGUUGUAAACCGCUUUUGUACGGAACGAAAAGGCUCUGGCUAAUACCUGGGGCUGAUGACGGUACCGUAAGAAUAAGCACCGGCUAACUACGUG
rnacentral:rRNA from 1 species